rnacentral:rRNA from 1 species
AAUAUUGGACAAUGGGGGAAACCCUGAUCCAGCAAUGCCGCGUGAAUGAAGAAGGCCUUAGGGUUGUAAAGUUCUUUCACCUGUGAAGAUAAUGACGGUAGCAGGAGAAGAAGCCCCGGCAAACUCCGUGCCAGCAGCCGCGGUAAGACGGAGGGGGCUAGCGUUGUUCGGAAUGACUGGGCGUAAAGGGCGCGUAGGCGGUGUAAUAAGUGAGGCGUGAAAGCCCUGGGCUUAACCCAGGAGGUGCGUUUCAUACUGUUACGCUAGAGUGCGAGAGAGGAAAGUGGAAUUCCUAGUGUAGAGGUGAAAUUCGUAGAUAUUAGGAAGAACACCAGAGGCGAAGGCGGCUUUCUGGCUCGCAACUGACGCUGAGGCGCGAAAGCGUGGGGAGCAAA